rnacentral:rRNA from 1 species
GACGAACGCUGGCGGCGUGCUUAACACAUGCAAGUCGAACGGAAAGGCCCUGCUUUUGUGGGGUGCUCGAGUGGCGAACGGGUGAGUAACACGUGAGUAACCUGCCCUUGACUUUGGGAUAACUUCAGGAAACUGGGGCUAAUACCGGAUAGGAGCUCCUGCUGCAUGGUGGGGGUUGGAAAGUUUCGGCGGUUGGGGAUGGACUCGCGGCUUAUCAGCUUGUUGGUGGGGUAGUGGCUUACCAAGGCUUUGACGGGUAGCCGGCCUGAGAGGGUGACCGGCCACAUUGGGACUGAGAUACGGCCCAGACUCCUACGGGAGGCAGCAGUGGGGAAUAUUGCACAAUGGGCGAAGCCUGAUGCAGCAACGCCGCGUGCGGGAUGACGGCCUUCGGGUUGUAAACCGCUUUCGCCUGUGACGAAGCGUGAGUGACGGUAAUGGGUAAAGAAGCACCGGCUAACUACGUG